UCUGCAUUGUAUUUUCAUUUAGCAAGUAGUCUAGUGUAGGUUGAUGUUUGUCCCGUGAAGCUUCAGCUCAGCACGCAGAGGAGGAGAGAUGUCGGGCUGCCGUGCGAUACGGUGAGCACGGCGAGAUGCCGAUGGCAGCGUGAGGCUCCAGUGCCGUGUGAUACGGCAGCGUCGUGUGAAGCGGCAAGAUGCGUGUGGGAGCAGACUUGCUGGACGGAUCAGUUGGAGUUGAGAGACACGGUUAGUUAGUUAGUUUGUUAGUGCAUGCGAGAUGCUAGCAUGCACUUCCCACGUCUGUUUGCAUGGUGGCAUGGUCCUGUGUAUAUCUUGGAGUGAUUCUAGGAUUAGAUAGCAGGUAGUGCAUGCAUGUACGUGUAUUAGUUGUGUGAGUGGGCUUGGUAAUGGCCGGGUGCUUAGAGGAUAAGGCCACGAUGUGGUAGUGGCCUGAGGGUUGAGUGCCAGCCCCUUGUGUAUAUAUAUGUGUUGCAGUUGAGUAAUGAACAGGAGGCCGUGAGGGCUGAGAGCAAAAUGUAGCGAAUACGUUCACCAAGGAGAAGAGCCCGUGGGCAAAGCUUUGUGCUCCUUGGUGCGUGUGUGUGUGUGGGUGUUCUUUUGUGUUUGAGAGAAACAACCAGAGAAAGAGAGAGGGAGCUGUGAGAGGCAGCAACUCGAGGUAGAAGAAGUGGCGCUGCGAGAGGGCGGCGCCAACAAUUGGCAUCAGAGCCCUGAAGAUCCUAGGCGGCUGCGGCGAUGCGGCGGACUCCAUGUGAAGUGGAGGUCGUCGCCGUGAGGUGGAGGCUGUCGGCGGCGCGAUGCCGUGGGCGGCCGGUUGCGGUGCGAUGCCGCAAGAUGAAGGGUGGCGAUGAUCGGCAUCGCGAGGACGUCAUCCACGACAAGAUGGUCCGUGGUGACCGGCGUUGCGAAGGCGUCGGUUGUGGCGCGACAGACUUCAUGUGAGAUGGAGGCCAACGGCGCAAGAAGGAGGAUGGUGGCCAUGCGGUGCCGCUAUGUCAAGAUGGCGGUGCGAAGCUGCCACAAGAAAAGUCGGUGUGAUGCCGACGACGGUGGUGUGAUGCCAUCGUCAUCAUGGAAAGUUGGUGUGAAGCCAACAAAAAUUGCGGUGCGAUGCCGCUUGGCGAAGACGGCGUGGUGAUCGGCGCUGCGACAGCGUCGUCCACGUCAAGAGGUGGCCGUCGCGUGCGGCAAGAGGACAUAGUGAUGGACGCCGGCGAUGCGAUGGCGUCGGUCCACGGCAAGGUGCGCAGCGCUGCGAUGGCGUUGUCAAGUGGGAGAGGGUGAAGCCGCAUGAAGAUUGGAGAAUCAAGAUUAGGAGGGAAAAUGUUAGGAUUAAUCUUGAUUAUGUGUCUGCAUUGUAUUUUCAUUUAGCAAGUAGUCUAGUGUAGGUUGAUGUUUGUCCCGUGAAGCUUCAGCUCAGCAUGCAGAGGAGGAGAGAUGUCGGGCUGCCGUGCGAUACAAUGAGCACGGCGAGAUGCCGAUGGCAGCGUGAGGCUGCAGUGCCGUGUGAUACGGCAGCGUCGUGUGAAGCGGCAAGAUGCGUGUGGAAGCAGACUUGCUGGAAGGAUCAGUUGGAGUUGAGAGACACGAUUAGUUAGUUAGUUUGUUAGUGCAUGCGAGAUGCUAGCAUGCACUUCCCACAUCUGUUUGCAUGGUGGCCUGGUCCUGUGUAUAUCUUGGAGUGAUUCUAGGAUUAGAUAGCAGGUAGUGCAUGCAUGUACGUGUAUUAGUUGUGUGAGUGGGCUUGGUAAUGGCCGGGUGCUUAGAGGAUAAGGCCACGAUGUGGUAGUGGCCUGAGGGUUGAGUUCCAGCCCCUUGUGUAUAUAUAUGUGUUGCAGUUGAGUAAUGAAAAGGAGGCCGUGAGGGCUGAGAGCAAAAUGUAGCGAAUACGUU
rnacentral:lncRNA from 1 species